GGUCGAGUGGUGUAGUGGUUAUCACUCCUGUCUUACAUGAUUGUACACAGGCGGUCGUCGGUUCGAUCCCGGCCUCGAUCA